CCUGAAUCAAAUUUGACAGAACUGGGUUAGAGGAGGCCAUGCACGCAGUGGCACCUCGCCGGGAUGGAGGCCUGAGAGAGCAGCUUGGGGGAGCCUGGAUGGGACACCACUGACCCUGAGUGUGCCACAGACAGAGAAGAGACACAGAAGUUUGUCUGACAGGCCUUUCUUUAAAUCUAGCCUCAUCUUCAGUGCAUUUUUCAGUUAAGAAAAAUGUGUGAGGUGACAGCAGCAUCAGUGAAAUAGCAGCAUCAAAGCAUCUAAAGGAACAAACAUUCCCAAGAAAAGAAGGUUCUCCUACUGCAGAGCAACAAGCUGCUACACGUCUCUUGCAACUGUGGGAACAGCGGAAUUUACAAUGUAAGCGUUUUGUUUCAUAUUUUGUGAACUAUGUGCCUUCACCUCAAGUCUUUGCUGUAGAUUCAUUGUAGCACAGAAAUACUGCAGAACUAACAGAAAUUCAGUGGAGGGGAUGGGGG
ensembl:lncRNA